UUGUAUGGUUUUGGUAGUAAUAUAAAAGACAUACAAAAAGAGAAACAUAAAAACAGAUAAACUAUUAUAGCUUCUAGUGAUCAGAUUUUGGUUUACAUAGAAAACUAUACAGACAACUUGGGAAGCUGAAGAGGAUGGUCAACAGCUGGGUUGAGAAGGUGUUUUCGAGGUCCACGAUAGCUUCCAUGAUUCAUCCGCUGCCUCAUCUGAUGUGAUUGUGCAGCAUGAGCAAGUGAAGCAUCAGCAGUUGCAGUGGCUGAACCGAUCCUUGGGGAGGAGGCAAAAAUCAAGAGGAAAAGAAGAAGGGAUGUAAACAAGGUCUUCAAUUGCACCAUUAUUUGUUGGUUUCAGCUCUAAAUUCCUGAUGUAUCAUGAAGUGAAGAUGUUUUUAUAAAGCAAAAACUCAAAGCCAAGCAAAGUAGUUUACUUUGCUUUGGAUUGAAGUCACGAGGCGGUUCCAUCUUGAACACUUGGAGGGUUCGUCAACCGUUUUCCUUGGACCAUCUCCAUUGCUUGAUGACCACCACCAUUAACUUCAAUCAUUAAUCUCUCCCACAUAUCAGUAUCUUCACCAGCCCACACUUUCAAACGACCCCAGUUCAUUGAACAUCAAUAACGACGGCCGAUGCAGUAUUCCGGGGGUUGUCGAUUGUCAUUGUGUGUUCUGGGCAAAAGAAGAAAAAGAGGAGCAAAGCCAUGUUUCAUUUCCAGGGAAGGAGCCUUCAUUAACAGACUCCGAUCUUUAACCUUUGAGGUCCACCUUCUACGGGUUGAACAAGCACAGUCCCUUGUUGGAUCAAGAAGUACUAAACUCGAGGUUAGACAAAGGGAAGAAUAAAGUUGAAGACUAAGUUGGUGAAUUUGGCUAUAAUUGGUACCGAGUAUUGCAAGCUACUUCAAGGAUCCUAAAGAAGUCGGAGAUCGUCCACACUAUCAACCACAACUGCUCGGUAUUUUAUGUCGAAACACGUUUGAGUUAUGGCAUGUAUAGGGAUUUAGUUAUUCUAAAUGUUUGUAUUUAUGAUCUUUCUAAAGAAUGAUGUGUAAGUAUUUGAUGAUGAAUGGUUGCUAAAAUGGUU